GACGAACGCUGGCGGCGUGCUUAACACAUGCAAGUCGAACGGAAAGGCCCUGCUUUUGUGGGGUGCUCGAGUGGCGAACGGGUGAGUAACACGUGAGUAACCUGCCCUUGACUUUGGGAUAACUUCAGGAAACUGGGGCUAAUACCGGAUAGGAGCUCCUGCUGCAUGGUGGGGGUGGGAAAGUUUCGGCGGUUGGGGAUGGACUCGCGGCUUAUCAGCUUGUUGGUGGGGUAGUGGCUUACCAAGGCUUUGACGGGUAGCCGGCCUGGGAGGGUGACCGGCCCAGAUGGGCCUGGAAUACGGCCCAGACUCGUACGGGAGGCAACGGUGGGGAAUAUUGCACAAUGGGCGGAGGGCUGGUGCAACCACGCCGCGUGCGGGAUGAGAGCCUUCGGGUUGGAAACCGCUUUCGCCUUUGACGGAGCGUGAGUGACGGUAAUGGGUAAAGAAGCACCGGCUAACUCCGUG
rnacentral:rRNA from 1 species